rnacentral:rRNA from 1 species
AGUGAACGCUGGCGGUAGGCCUAACACAUGCAAGUCGAACGGCAGCACAGUAAGAGCUUGCUCUUACGGGUGGCGAGUGGCGGACGGGUGAGGAAUACAUCGGAAUCUACUUUUUCGUGGGGGAUAACGUAGGGAAACUUACGCUAAUACCGCAUACGACCUACGGGUGAAAGCAUGGGAUCUUCGGACCUUGCGCGAUUGAAUGAGCCGAUGCCGGAUUAGCUAGUUGGCGGGGUAAAGGCCCACCAAGGCGACGAUCCGUAGCUGGUCUGAGAGGAUGAUCAGCCACACUGGAACUGAGACACGGUCCAGACUCCUAAGGGAGGCAGCAGUGGGGAAUAUUGGACAAUGGGCGCAAGCAUGAUCCAGCCAUACCGCGUGGGUGAAGAAGGCCUUCGGGUUGUAAAGCCCUUUUGUUGGGAAAGAAAAGCAGCAGGUUAAUACCCCGCUGUUCUGACGGUACCCAAAGAAUAAGCACCGGCUAACUUCGUG